CCCACAGUGGGGCCGUGCUGAGAAUUAACACUACUAUCACUCUGGUGCCCAGGAGGUGAAGUGAAGUCAAGUUCUGAGAAAGGAAACCAUUAUAAGCCACUUGCCUCAUUUGAACCCUCUGCGUGGUCAUCAAGGAAGGUGGAGUCUCAUCCCCUAACAGUCAUCUUGUUCCAUCAAUUACUGAGGAAGGAGUGUUAAAGUCUUCAGUUUUGAGUGUAUCUUGUGCCAGUGACAUUAGUAACAGCUGAAAAGAAUUCAUCUCCUUGGUUGACGAAGCAGAGGAUGGUUACCAGAACUGACCUGUUAUCACCAUGGUGACCCCACAGAGACUUCAGUUCUUAGGUAGUCAUCAGGACACAACUGCUACUGAGACAUCACCUCUCCCUUCCCCCUGAAUUCUCUGGAUCAAUGCUUCUCACACCUUUAUAUCUUAUGAGCUACUUUAAAAAGUGGGAACAUAGAUUUGCCAAGCUUUCACAUUACCAAGCAAGAGCAUUCAAAAAUUAAAUCACAUCUGCUAUCAUCAUAAAAGAAAAAACAUUGAAACACUAAAGAGUAGAAAGUUGUAAUAUUAGGAUAAAUAAUAAAGCUACCAUAAUUAAGUUAAAUCUAUGAUCUCUCUGUCUGUGACUGUAGAUUGUUUAAUUGCAUAUUUCUGUUAGUUACAAAUGGGGAAAUUUUAUCAUUAGUAAACAUCACUUUCUUUGAAUCCUCACUUGCAAUCAUAAUUAUAGCAUAUGCAUAGAGAGACUCUAAAAAUGCCUGAAUUUUAAAAAAAUGCUACUCUUGAUUUACGGCUAAGU